GACGAACCGUCCAAACGUUGUUCGGAUUCAUUGGGCGGAAAGGGUGCGUAGGCGGCGCGGUAAGUCGGGUGUGAAAUCUCGGGGCUUAACUCCGAAACUGCAUUCGAUACUGCCGUGCUUGAGGACUGGAGAGGAGACUGGAAUUUACGGUGUAGCGGUGAAAUGCGUAGAUAUCGUAAGGAAGACCAGUGGCGAAGGCGGGUCUCUGGACAGUUCCUGACGCUGAGGCACGAAGGCCAGGGGAGCAAACGGG
rnacentral:rRNA from 1 species